GUACACGCUGUGACUAGCAUAUCAAUAAGCGGAGGAAAAGAAACUAACAAGGAUUCCCUUAGUAACGGCGAGUGAAGCGGGAAGAGCUCAAAUUUGAAAUCUUCAAGGUUUUACCUUGACGAAUUGUAGUUUAAAGAAGUGUUUUCUGUUGAAGUUUUGGUAAAAGUUCUUUGGAAUAGGACAUCAUAGAGGGUGAGAAUCCCGUAUUUGACCAUUAUUUUCAGCUGUGUGAUACACUUUCAAAGAGUCGGAUUGUUUGGGAAUGCAGUCCAAAAUGGGUGGUAAAUUUCAUCUGAAGCUAAAUAUUGGCGAGAGACCGAUAGCGAACAAGUACCGUGAGGGAAAGAUGAAAAGAACUUUGAAAAGAGAGUUAAACAGUACGUGAAAUUGUCAAAAGGGAAGCGUUUGACACCAGUGUUGUUUUCUCGAAAAUCAAUUAAAAAUGGCUCGAUUUUGUAUUGCUGAGACCUUAAAAGCUCACUGUACAUUUUUCGUGUCUUUUUUAAUGCACUUUUCGUUUAACAAGUCAACAUCAGUUUCUUUUGUUGUAAAAGGGUCAUUGGAAGGUGGCUUUCUUUUCGGAGAAAGUGUUUAUAGCCUUUGACUCCUGCAAUCGAAGAGACUGAGGUCCUGCAGCGUAGAACCUUCGGGGUUAGAUACAUUUGUGCUAAGUUAUAGCUUUUUAUAGACAACUUGUUGACUAUGAUUAGUCUUGUAGCUUACUCGCUUAUGCUAUUUUACCUACGCUUAGGAUGUUGAACUACUGAGACAUAGA
rnacentral:rRNA from 1 species